rnacentral:rRNA from 1 species
GUGGGGAAUAUUGGACAAUGGGGGAAACCCUGAUCCAGCAAUGCCGCGUGAGUGAAGAAGGCCUUAGGGUUGUAAAGCUCUUUCGCCCGCGAAGAUAAUGACGGUAGCGGGAGAAGAAGCCCCGGCUAACUCCGUGCCAGCAGCCGCGGUAAUACGGAGGGGGCUAGCGUUGUUCGGAAUUACUGGGCGUAAAGCGUACGUAGGCGGAUGCGCAAGUUGGGGGUGAAAUCCCGGGGCUUAACCUCGGAAUUGCCCUCAAAACUGCAAGUCUUGAGACCGAGAGAGGUAAUGGGAAUUCCUAGUGUAGAGGUGAAAUUCGUAGAUAUUAGGAAGAACACCAGUGGCGAAGGCGCCUUACUGGCUCGGUACCGACGCUGAGGUACGAAAGCGUGGGGAGCAAACA